rnacentral:misc_RNA from 1 species
GGAAGUAAAAGUCGUAACAAGAUCUCCGUUGGUGAACCAGCGGAGGGAUCAUUACCGAGUUUACAACUCCCAAACCCAAUGUGAACGUUACCAAACUGUUGCCUCGGCGGGAUCUCUGCCCCGGGUGCGUCGCAGCCCCGGACCAAGGCGCCCGCCGGAGGACCAACCUAAAACUCUUAUUGUAUACCCCCUCGCGGGUUUUUUUAUAAUCUGAGCCUUCUCGGCGCCUCUCGUAGGCGUUUCGAAAAUGAAUCAAAACUUUCAACAACGGAUCUCUUGGUUCUG